AGGUUUUAAGCUAUUGUAUAUUUACAAACAUAUCCUCCUAUUUUAUUAUAACUACAUAAUUACCCCAAAAUUAUCUGAUUUAUCUCAUUUCCUCCAUCGCUAGCUCAGCUCUUUUUAAACCUAGCCCAUUCUCCAAUCUCUCCGGCGACAUUCCGACCAACAAAGUGACAGAAACCAAGUGAAAGAGAUGAACACGAUAGCGAAGCGAGUCACGGGACUACUGACUCGGCCGAGUCACAGCCAGCUGCAGCAGGAGAGAGGGAUAAGGGUGAAGGUGUUCUCAGGGGAUCUAGACAAGGCGCUGACGAUACUGCAGAGGAAGAUGCAGUCGAGCGGGAUGGAGAGGCUGAUCAAAGCGCAGCAGACUCAUCACAUCAAGAACUCGGAGAAGAAGGUUCUCGCUAGGAAGAAUCUUGAACGCAAGAUCAAAUCCAUUGACUUUGCUCGCAAGCUGCAGUCCAUCCUCAUCAAGAAAGUCAGGUAUGGCAAGUUUAAAGGUUGAUGCUUUGGUUUUGUGAGUUGAGAUGACAUAAAAAGGUUGAGACUUUAGUAAAGAUGGUGCAAGAACGUAGAGUUUUAGGUUCUGUUCUUUGGACCGUUGUUGUAGGAUAAGCUUAAUGGUUGCUUUGUUUUGGCUGGUGAGAUGUAUGGAAUCAUGUACUUACAGUUGAUCCACUUAUGAAAUAAAAAGCUUGAGGCUUUAGUAAAGAUGUUACAAGAACAAUCACUCUAGGAUUUGUUCUCGGACCAUUGUUGCAGGAUAGGCUUUGUGUUUAUCAUAGGAAUCAACAUGUUGUAAUGGUUUCUCUCAUGUUCUUAUUUGCAGAGGUUUGUGAGCGCGGAGCUGGUGCUAUAACCAUUCAUCAUCUUCUUUACAUUACAUUUUGGGGGGAAAGGAAGUUGAUCAGUGCUAGUAUCUAUGAUAUAGCACACUUGUGAUCCAGUUUUUUUUUUUUUUUUUUUUCAUUUUGAACUUUUUGGUGAAUUGAAAAUUUGGUAUAAUCUUGGAUUGCCAUUCGUUGUUUACUCUAUGAAUAAAGGCUUCUCCUUUCUUAA